AUACCCUAUUAUUUUGAGUGUUAAUUUUGCUUACCUGGGUACUAUUAGUUAAGAUCUUUAAACCCAAAGAAUUUGGCGGUACCUUAUUCCAUUCAGAGGAACCUACCCCGUAAUUGAUAAUACACGAUUGACUUUACUUAAUUUAUUUGUUUGUAUAUCUCCGUUAUCAGAAAAUCUUAUUGGAGUUAUAAUUUUCUUGAUUUAUAAUUAUAAAAUAUUUCAGGUCAAGGUGCAGCUUAUAAUUAAGAGGAGGUGGGUUACAAUAAAUUUUUGUUUAUUAUGAAUUUAAUGGUGAAAUACUAUUAAUGAAGGUGGAUUUGAUAGUAAUUUAAUUUAUUUAAUUUAAUUGAUAUUGGCUCUAAGGUGUGUACACAUCGCCCGUCGCUCUCA
rnacentral:rRNA from 1 species